rnacentral:lncRNA from 10 species
UCAAAGAAAAAAAAAUGAUUUAUAACAUGUAUAAGUCAACAAACUUAACGUUAAUACUGAUGAGUAAUCUAUGAAGAGGGCAAUGAUCAUGAGUUUUUAUGCUCUUUAACAACAUAGCCUUGAAAUAUAAAAGCAGAGUUGAUAAAAUUUCAAAGAAAAAUACACAAAUAUCAACCACAAUAGAUUUUAACAGAACUCUUUUAGAAAGGAAUAUAUCUGGCACACAGAUUUUAAAAUAGAGAAUCUAAUGGCACAAUGAACAAGUUUGAUAUAACAUCUACAGAGAGAGCUCUGUAUCCAGAUACAGAUUCCUUUCAUGCAUACAUGAAAAAUAUAUUAUAACUGAUUACAUAUUAGACAACAAAGAAAAAUUUCAACAAAUUCCAAAGAACUGAUAUCAUAAAGACCAUGAUCUCUGAGCACAGAAUACUAAAAAUAAGACAGCCAAAAGUAUAUUUUACUUUCCUUUAAAAUAACCAAUGGGUUAAAAAGGAAAUGACCAUGGGAAUUACACAGUAAUUUUUUAAAUGAGAAGAAAAACAUUAUUUAUCAAAUUCCAUAGAUAUGGAGUUAGGUAGAUGAAAAAUUUCAUGAUCUUAAAAAAAUCCAUUAGAAAAUAAAAAUUUAACAUGAAUAAGUUUAAUGGUCAAGUCAAGGAAACAGAAAAAGAAUAACAUAUUGCUACCAAGACAGUAGAAGAGAGGCUCUGGAUUUGGCAAGAUGGUAGACCAGAUACCUGAGAACCUUCCUGCUAAAAACACAUAGGUAAAAUAAAACAGACAUACUUUUAAAUGUCUAGCUGGGCUUACUAAAGAGUAAAGGUGACUGCAGAAGCUAGAAAUGAAGAGGAAAGGAAUACUAGCAGGUAAUCACAAGAACUCCUGCAGCCCAAAGGGUGGGGAUGAAGGCAAGAUUUUCAGUUUCAUUAAUCUAGGGCGGGAAUUUGUCUGCUUUUUUUUUGGUAAAAGGUCAGAUAGUGAAUGUUUUAGCUUUGAGGGCCAUCUAGUCUUUGUAGCAACUACUCAAUUCUGCCAUUGUGAUGUGAAAGCAGCCCAGCUGAUAUAUAAACAAAUGGGCAUGCUUAUGUUCCAAUAAGGCUUUAUUUACCAAGAUUAAGAGUGAGCUGGAUUUGAUCCUGGGGCUAUAGUUUGCUGACCUCUCAUGUGGGGCUUGGGUCUUAAUGCCCAGGAGGGGAUAGGAAGUAUGGCCUAGUGCCUACGCCAGGCAAAGAGCAGAAACACACAAAACCAGGCCCUUGGUGAAAGGGUAGAUCAGAAAAGUCAGCCCACUACACUGUGAAACAAAAAGAAAGCUGGUUUGUCUCAAGACUGAGCUCUGGAGGAGCAAAAAUAGGUCUUCUCUAAACACUUUCAACCACAGCUGAUCCUGGUGCUGUUUGAACUUCAAAUUAACACUUAUUAUAAUACUCAUAAUUGCUCUUGAGCCUGGGAUAUCCCUGGAGUGCCUGGCAGAAACAAAGCAAAAACAUUUUCAUGGCAGACCCCUUGAAGUUUGCUAUGCAGAAUUCUUACUGAUAAUGCACCACUAAAGUUGAACUCACAAUCCAAAAAAUAUAAACUAUGUAAGGAAACAAUUCAACAUCAGUGAAAACAUAUAUGACAAAUCUCAAUCCUCAAGACUUCAUUAAGUCAGAAAUGAUAGAAUAUAGUUAUAAAAUAUGUACAUUUAACAUAAAGAUAUAAAAUAUUUAAAAAUGAGAAGAUAAGAUAUUCUAAAAAAGGCCAGACUUGAAAGAGAAUUGAAUACAACUUCCAGAAAUUCAGCCCUAAAUAGGAAAAAUAAAAACAAACUCACUGAGAUAUGACAUAGGGAAACUACAAAAUACGAAAGACAAAAAGAUCAUAAAAGGGCAAAUUACCUACAAAGGUAGCUCAUCAGAUCGCUCUGCAAACUCUUGGGUACACACGCAUGACUCGAGAGGAUGGGGCUGGGGUGGAGCAUGUCCCUACCAGCUCCAGGUUAUUUGUUUCCAACAGGUUUUCAGGCCCUUAUAGAAGGCAGUCGGGUGGUGUCUUCUGGGGAAAAUUAUGCCUAAUACAAUGCUAGGGCUGGAGUGAGCACUGGCCUCCUUAGCAUGAAUUCUUCUCUGGCUCAGGACAGAGGCCAAGCUCUGGAAGGGAGAUGACUACUUACCCAUUGCCAAGUAUCCAGUGGCACAUUAGAGAAUAGCCCUGUUCUGGCUGCCUAACAUAAAGCUGAAGACUGUCUUGGUCCAGGGUAGAUGAUCAGAGUGACCAGGUGAUAGGUGAUCAGAGGGAAGGAACAGGCAGCAGGGAUCAUUUAGCAACAUGCUCUAACUCAGAGUUAAAACUGGGCUCCUGCGAGGAGACAGGAAGCAUAAUCCAAACAACGCCACCUGAAGGAGCCCAAGUCUCCACACCCAAUUCCUGUAGUCUAGACUUCUGCAAUGCUGUGCCUGCCACGCUGGAAUUCCACCAGUGGGACCCAGCCAGCAGCAGGUAAAGAAGCUCAACUUUGCCGAUGUGCCCUCUCAAAGGAUUAGAAACCUAUACACUCCAUCUAGUACCACCACCAUUUUACACUACAAUGCUUUAUAAUCUUAAAGGAAAAAAAAAACCAACUUUCAAUAACCCACCUCACUUAUCAUCAUAAGCAUGUGUAAUAGGUUUCUGAUUACUUUCAAUUUACAAAUGAUCAGAAAUUUUUUUUUCCAGUGAAAAUAUAUCAGAGUUGUGGUUUGAAACCAGCUUGUGAGAUUCCAGAUUUUGUAUCCUUUCCACUACCUAUGCAUUAGGGAAACCCUAUCAUAGAAUAAGAGCUUACAGGGUGAUUAUUAGUUGUUUCCAAAUACCAGUGUUAUAAAGAUAUUACAGUAUAUUGUUAAUAUCCAUGGAACAUCCAUUUGCUUUUUUUUAGCAGACAUCUGGUAGCCACUGUCCUCUUAGAAUUUUGUUUUUUUCCUUCUUUUACUAUGUAUUUCAAAUUUAUUGCCAACUGUUCUCAGAUUUUUCUUCUUAAAAUCUCACAAAUCCAUUUUACCUCCUUAUUCUCACCGGAGUUGCCUCAGAAUCUCUGUAGAAGUAGCACAGAAGAAAAGCACUUCUCUGCAAAAAAAAAGUUCAGAGGCUUUUCUCCUCUCUUGUUGCUCCAUUCCCCAAUUUAUUCUCCACUAAAUUGACAGUGAACUUUCCAAAGUCCAAAGUUCCACAUGAACUUUCCAUGUCAGUGCCACUGCAUCUAUUUUAUUGGCAGCUUGUUACUUUCCGGAUGAAAUCCAAACUCCUUAGCACAGCAUAAAUGCCUGCUAUGGUCUGAAUGUUUGCGUACCCCCCUCUUCAGCGCCCUCAAAAUCUGUAUGUUGAAACCGAAUCACAAUGUAUUAAGAGUUAGGCCCUUUAGAAGGUGAUUAGGUCAUGAGGCUAGAGCUCUCAUGAAUGGGAUUAGUCCCCUUAUGAAAGAGGCUUGAAGGAGCCUGGUUGAGCCUUCAGCCAUGUGAGCACCCACAGAAGGUACCAUCUAGAGGAAGUAGGCCCUCACCAGACACUGAAUCUGCUGGUGCCUUGAUCUUGGAUUUCUCAGCCUCUGGAACUGUGAGCAAAGCAUUUCUAUUGGGUAUAAAUUACCCAGCCUAAGGCAUUUUGUUAUAGCGGCCUGGAUGGACCAAGACAAUGCCCUUCAAGAUCUUACGGCUACCUCUGUCAUCCUCGUCUGGACACUUGAGCUCUUCGAGACUUGGGACUUCAUCCUUAAUUACUCUAUCCCCAGUUUUAGCAUGUAGCUUGUAGUAGAUGCUCAGUAAUUAUUUGCUUAACUAAUUAAUCAAGUUAUAGAAAAAUGUGAUGAGAACUUUUUUAGAAAAGAACUAGAUCCCAAAACAAAACAUUUAGAGUCAUUAUUGGUUUAUUCUUGGGUGAAAGCAUUUUUCCAAUAGAUAUAUUUAAAUCUUUUUUUUUUUUUAAAGAGUGUUUUGCUCUGUCGCCUAGGCCGGAGUGCAGUGGUGCCAUCAUAGCUCAUUGCAGCCUUGAACUCCUAGGUUCAAGCAAUCCUCCCACUUCAGCCUCCUCAACAGCUGGGACUUCAGGUGUACAGCACUAUGUCCAGCUAAUUUUUUCUAUUUUUUGUAGAGAUGGGGUCUUGCUAUGUUGCCCAGGCUGGCCUUGAACUCCUGGCCUCAACUGAUCCUGCUGCCUCGGCCUCCCAACCACUGGGAGUACAGGUGGGAGCCAUCAUACUCAGCAGUUUUUUUUUUUAAAGAGAUGGAGUCCUGCUAUGUUACCCAGGCUGGACUCAAAGUCCUGGGCUCAAGUGAUCCUCCCAAAUAGCUGGGACUCAGGUGCACACCACCAGGUCCAGCUCUACAACAGGUAUGCUUAUAUAGAAGAGUGAAGAAUACAUAAACCUUGAUGAGGCUGCUAAAGUUUUAAUUUCCCCUAGGAAUCUAAGGCAUCAGAAGACUAUUUUUUAAAAGAUUACGUAUUAGAUACAGAUUUAAAAGAUUAUGUAUUAGAUAUAGAAGAUUAGAUAUAGAAGCUGACUCCUGUUAAACAAAAUGGUGAUAGUAAAAUGAAAAGGAAUUGUAAAAAGAGCAGUGUUAUUUAAGUAAAACCAUCUCUGUGGGUAAUUGCUGCUUUGUUUUUCUAUCUCCCCUUUCUAUUCUUACGAGAUAAAGAUAGAAAUUGAAAUGGCAGUUUUGAAAGAAAGCUGAAAAGAAACAAGAGACUGGUUCAGCCUAGAAGGACAGAGAAUCAUCUAUGUAAUGUCCAGGAAUAGUAGAAGAGAGGGUUUUAAAAAAUAAAAGGUAACAUUACAUUGCUUAUAUAUUUUGCAUUCUAUUUCUAUGGUAAUAGGUUAGCAAAUCAGGUUGUUGCUAAGGGAAACAAGAAUUUCAUUCUGAGGCAAUCAUGAGAAUUUUUCUAGAAUCAUCUCUUUAUUGCUGUCUGCUCAGAACAAUCAAAACUGGUAGCGGGAAGAGAAUCAGUGUAGGAAGGCAACAUUGACAAGGCCAAACAACGAAGUGGUGACUCACUGAGUCCUUGCACUCUCGAAGGAAACAACCACCUUAGAAAAAACCAUGCACUUUCGGCGGGGGCUUAAUCACAUUAGGUGAGUAAUCACCUCAAAGACCCAAAUGGCAGCUCUGUUAAUGUUCAGUCUGUAUGGCCUUCUUUAUAUGUAAAUGCCAAAACAUUAAUAACUACUAAUAACAUUAAUAGAAUGCCAAAAACACUGCAGGUACAAAUAUCUAGUGUGAUGGAUCUCUCCUCCCUUAGAUCUUUACUCACAUCUCACCUUUUUUUUUGAGAAGGAGUCACGCUCUGUCGCCCAGGCUGGAGUGCAGUGGCACAAUCUCAGCUCGCUGCAAGCUCCGCCUCCCAGGUUCACGCCAUUCUCCUGCCUCAGCCUCCCGAGCAGCUGGGACUACAGGUGCCCGCCACCACACCCAGCUAAUUUUUUGUAUUUUUAGUAGAGAUGGGCUUUCACCUUGUUAGCCAGGAUGGUCUCAAUCUCCUGACCUCAUGAUCCACCCGCCUUGGUCUCCCAAAGUGCUGAGAUUACAGGUGUGAGCCAUGGCGCCCGGCCAUAUCUCACCUUCAUUUAUUUAUUUAUUUAUUUAUUUAUUUAUUUAUUUAUUUAUUUAGAGUCUCACUCUGUCGCCCAGGCUGGAGUGCCUAGGUUCAAGCGAUUCUCCUGCUUUAGCCUCCCGAGUAGCUGGGAUUACAGGCGCUUGCCACCAUGCCCGGCUAAUUUUUGUAUUUUCAGUAGAGAUGGGGUUUCGCCAUUUUAGCCAGGUUGGUCUCAAACUCCUGACCUCAAACAAUCCAACUCCUCUGCCUCCCAAAGUGCUGGGAUUACAGGCAUGAGCCACCACACCCGGCCUAAAUCUUACCUUCUUAAUGAGCUUCCCAGGCCUUCCUAUCUAAAAUUGCACGUCCCUGCUACACUGUAACUUCCUAAACCCUUCCCUGGUUUAUUAUUCUCCUUAACCCUGAUCACCAUCUAACAUACUAUAGAUGGUAUUUUACUUAUUUGUGUUUAUUGUCCGUCUCUCAUUAGAAAGUAACCUGAGUCUACAGCUAUACCACCCUGAAUGCGUCCAAUCUCUUCUGAUCUCGGAAGCUAAGCAGAGUUGGGCCCGAUUAAGACUUAGAUGAGAGCAUGUAAGCUCUCAGUGAUAGCAGGAAUUUCUCUCCAUUUUGUUCUCUGCCAUCUCUCCAGCACAUGGAAUGGUGCCUACCAUUCAAUAGCUGUCCAAAAAUAUGUGAGUGCAUUAGUGAGAUCCAUUUGGACCCACUGAUGUGGAUGAAGAUGAUUUUAGGCUGAAAACAUCAGAAAAACAGCAGCAGCAGAAAAAAACCUUAUCUAAAUUUCUUUUGCGGACAUAAGCAAUGCCUCCUAAAAUACAUCUGCCAUUUAUUUCCUCUCCAGGAGGUUAAUGACCAAAGAGGAGAUAGACCACUUGCACCUAGAGGAGAUGUUGCAUAAACAAAACCUUAUCAAAACUUUCUGUUCCUCACACUUAUUUCUCAUUAGUCUCCCACCAUACACUUUCUUAAAGUCUUAACCCUCUUUCUUACUAAGAUGAUAUAUAAACACUCAACUCUAGCUGUUUAGGGAGCCAAUUCUUUGUGUAAGUCUCUUUCAUUGACUUAGCAUUGACUACAUGAAUAAAUUUUGGCUAGGCAUGGUGGCUCACAUCUGUAAUCUCUGCAUUUUGGGAGGCCAAGGCAGCAGCUUAGGCAACAUGGUGAAACCCUGUCUCUAUAAAAAGCACAAAAAUUAGUCAGGCAUGGUGGUGCACACCUUAGUCCCAGCUACUCAGAAGGCUGAGGUGGGAGGAUCGCUUGAGCCCAAGAGAUAGAGGCUGCAAUGAGCCGAGAUCACACCACUGCACUCCAGCCUGGGGGACAGAGGGAGAUUCUGUUUCAAAAAUAAAACAAAACAAAAGAAUAAAGUUUGUCUGCUCUCCUGUCAACUUGUCUUUUGUCAGUUAAUUUGCAGGCCCCUGACCAUUGAACAUAAGCUGGUACAAGAAAAAGGCUUUUCCCCGUUCCCAACAGAAUGAAUGAAUGAAUAACAAAUUGAUACUCAUAUCAUACAACACUAUAAGUGAUGUAUUUUCUCAGGCAGGGAAGUAACUGUGGGUAUUCAGCUUCAUAUCUGCACAAAAAUAGAAAUAGGAUGUUAAAAAAGAGUUUGCUACAUGAUGAUUCCAAACUGACUAAAAUAAAUUCUGAACCAUAAUUACUAAGGUAUAUGAGGCCAAUCAUCAGAAAAGAAAACAGUAAGGUCUUCCAUCUUCCUGCAGAUAUUUGAGUCAAAUGAAAAUAAUGUCACUUUUUUUUUUCUUUUUUUUUUUUAGACAGGGUCUGGCUCUGUCACCAAGGCUGGAGUGCAGUGGCGCAAUCCUAGCUCACUGCAGCCUUGACCUCUCGGGCUCAAGCAGAGAGGUCCAUAUGGAUUGGAGGCCUUCUCCCAUCCAUAUCUCUCUCCUCCCAGUUUGAGAUAUUAGGUUGGUGCAAAAGUAAUUGUGGUUUUUGCCAUUAUUGCUACAACCUAAUAUUAAAACAACUCUGAUUUUGUCACUGCCCAGCUUCAAACCCUUCAGAUUGAAUCUCUUUUACUUGGACACCUGGCACCAUGUGAGCUCAUGUGAUUAAAAAGGGCAAAAAGCCACCAUCCUGCCAUGGGACAUUAACAGUCCAGUCCAGUGCAGGCUACCAGAUUACAAUGCAUGGAGAAGAGCUAGGCCAGAGGAGUGGGCCAAAAUGCUAAGAGAACAGAGAAAAGCAAGAAGGGGAGUUGAGAAAUGAUUCAAAGAGAAAAGGACACAGGACCUGGAUCUGAAAAAUUAAGGCUUUGGUCACUAAGUGGGACUGAGGAGAAAAGUUUGUGAGGUUGGGCGUCUGCAUGUCAAGCCCAGAGGCCGGAGAAGCAUGGCCACCUGGAAAGUGGAAAGGAGGCUGGCACCGCUGGACCACAGAGUGGAAAGGAAAGGGGAAGCUACAGCCAGAGGGGGUGAGAAUGUUGUAUGGUGCAAAUACUUCCUUCUACAAAAAGGAGCAUCAGCUGGGCAUGGUGGCUCGUGUCCGUAAUCCCAGCAUUUUGGGAGGCCAAGGCAGGCAGAUCACUUGAGGUCAGGAAUUCAAAGCCAGCCUGGCCAACAUGGUGAAACUCCAUACUAAAAAUAUAAAAAUUAGCUGGGCAUGGUGGUGCAUGCCUGUAGUCCCAGCUACUUAGGAGGCUGAGGCAGGAGAAUUGCUUGAACCUAGGAGGCGGAGGUUGCAGUGAGCCGAGAUUGCGCCACUGCUCUCCCACCUGGGUGACAGAGUGAGACUCUGUAUCAAAAAACAAAAAGGAGCAUCAAAGGUUUUUAAUCUGGGGAGUCGCAGGAUUAAAUCUGUAUGAGAGAUUUCUCUGAUGAUAACAGAGACAAAGCAUGAGACAUGUUAGGCUAUGAUAGAGGAUGAAGACCUGAGAUCAGGGGAGUGACCAAGAAGAUGAAAUGAAGGGGCUGCAGGAAAGAACGGGCAUGAGGGAUUAAGACGGGUUUGGGAGGGGUUUCUCAGGAAUCUGGCUUGGGUUGCUGGAUGCCUUUACUUUUAAUGAAGACAUGGAAGGCAGGAAGAAGAACAAUGGAGACCAAGGCUGGUUAACUCUGAUCAAUUGUUUGAUGAUUUCAAUAUAAAAGUAUUAUAAUAAUAACAUAUUAAAAUACUUGAGAUAUGAGUUCAUUACCCUUCCACGUCAAAAUACAUCCUUGAGUCAAAAAACAUAGCCUUGAAUCAAAAGAAAUUGAUUUUCUUUCUGUUAAAAGACAGAAAAUCCUUCUCUGAGAAGUGGUAUUGCAUUAUAUUUGAAAUAACCUUGUACAAUUUAUACCAAUCUUGAAUAUUAUUUUAAAAAUUAGAGGUAGGAAAAGACAUUAAAGAUCCUCUUGCUCUUGGCCAGGCGCAGUGGCUCACGCCUAUAAUCCCAGCACUUUGGGAGGCCGAGGUGGGUAGAUCACCUGAGGUCAGAUGUUCAAGACCAGCCUGGCCAACAUGGUGAAACCCUGUCUCUACUGAAAAUACAAAAAUUAGCUGGGCAUGAUGGUGGGCGUCUGUAAUCCCAGCUACUCAAGAGGCUGCGGUGGGAGCACUGCUUGAACCCGGGGGUGGAGGUUGCAGUAAGCCAAGAUCAUGCCACUGCACUCCAGCCUGGGUGACAGAGCAAGACUCUGUCUGAAAAAAAAUAAAAUAAAAUAAAUAUAUGUAUAUAUAUAUAUAUAUUCUUUUCAACUCUAACUUAAGGAAUGAAGUCAUCUUAGCCCAGCGGGAGUAUGAACUUUGUCUGGGGUUAUGAAACUGACUGUUGGCAAAGUCAGAACCAGGGCCCAAGGCUCCUGACCCCAGCCUGGAGUUCUUAGUAGAUCCAGCUUGAAUCAGAAGGAAGAAGGGGCUGGUGACCUGAAAGAAGCCAAAUCCCACCCACAGUUGUACUGCUUCAAAUAAACCUUAUUGUUCCAAUCAAAAAGAAAAGGAGUUAUUGCCUUGGGCUUCUAAGAAGUCUUUCAAAUUCUAGGAAUUAGUUUCACAUUUGUAGUUUAUAGAAUCACAUUAAUAGUUACUGUUUUGCUGACUGCUGACAACACCCUAAGUGAAGUUAAAAACAUUAAGUAGCAUUUCCUGGCCUUUCCAACAUUUUUAUUUUGUUCUGGGCCAAGGUAGCCAAAGGCUUCAGGAAUAAUUGACGCAUGUAUUGAAACAAUGUUAAUUCUACCUUCAAUUGAGGUAAACAUCAGAAAAUAAUUAUUCUGCAUACAAAUCUUAAUCACUGUGUUCAGAUGAUCUCUAAAGUCAUUCUUUUUGUUUCCACUGUAAAGAAUGGGAAGUGGAGGAAUUAUUUUUAGCUUGUUAUUCAUGGGCUGAAGUUUGAGUUCAAUUUGUGGUAAUGAAAUUAAAGAAUUCAUUUUAAUCAAAUAUGCAGGAUGCUGAUAAAAUAACUUUAAUAAAGAAUGUUGAAAACAUCUAAGAAAUGUAACCAAAUAUAUAAUGGAGAGUUAUAAGUUAUGCAAAAAUGUAAGUUAAGGCUUAAUAAUUCAUAUUGGAAAGAUGCCCUGGCUACAAAAGGACAUUCAGGGAGAGGGACAACCACGAUGGAUUUCACCAUCCUCCAGUCCAGAGCAUCCCUGUAAACAUGCAUUCAUUCACGUUUUGCUAAAAGAACACCCACAAAAAACAUCAGCAAUAUCACUAGCUGGCACAAUGGCAAACUAAGCCAAGACUCUUGAAGCCGGUCUGCUUGAAUUCUUCCUACAGGCUCUAAAGUCCAUUGGGAAUACUGUAGAAGCCAUUCUCUGUCAGAAAUUUUACAUUAUUCUAAUGAAAUGCAAAGGAUAGAAAUGUAAGAAUGUUUUUCUUAUGUUUUUCUUUUCUUUUUUUUUUGAGACCAAGUCUCACUCUGCAGCUCAGGCUGGAGUGCAGUGGUGCGAUCUCGGCUCACUGCAACCUCCAACUCCCAGGUUCAAGCAAUUCUCUUGCCUCAGCCUCCUGAGUAGCUGGGACUACAGGUGCACGCCACCAUGCUCAGCUAAAGUAGAGACAGGGUUUCACCAUGUUGGCCAGGCUGGUUUCGAACUCCUGGCCUCAAGUGAUCCACUCACCUCAGCAUCCCAAUGUGCUGGGAUUACAGGCAUGAGCCACCACACCUGACUUCAGAAUAAUUUCUUUUCUUCUCUUUUUUUUUUUUGAGACGGAGUUUUGCUCUUGUCACCCAGGCUGGAGUGCAGUGGCACAAUCUUGGCUCACUGAAACCUCUGCCUCCCGAGUUCAAGUGAUUCUCCUGCCUCAGCCUCCUGAGUAGCUGAGAUGAUAGGCACCUGCCACCACAGCCUGGCUAGGCUAUGCAUAUUUUUGGUAAGAUGCAGUUAGUUCCUGAAAGGAGGGCAUGAAACAAAGGAUAGCUAUCUCUGGUUUAAAAAAAAAAAAAAAAAGCCAGAAAUUUGUAACAUUGAAGAAUACUUCAUGAAUUUUCCAGUCAUCCCCUUCAUAAUUCUAUAUGAUUGAUAGAAUUGUUUCAUUUUCAAUUUCUUUAAGUUUUACCUUGGCAAGUUGCUAUGUAUCAAGUGAUGCAAAAUUUAACACAGAAACAAAGAUAACAAGGUAUAAUCAAACGAGCCCUGAAGUAGGAGUCAAGAAAGCUAAUUCCUAACAAUCACUUGAAUAAGAAAUAAAAAAUUGUAAAAUAUAAAACAUACAUAAAUAAGAAGUAGUAUCUAUUACUUCUAUAGACAGCAAGCUAAUGCACAGGAAAUCUUUUUUUCCAAAUUAGGCCUGUCAUCUUUUUACAUCUUUAAUGAAAGAGGCUUAGGCUUAACUACAAAUAUCAAAGCUAUACAAUUGCUAGAUAAUCAUAGAACUUAACUACGGGCAGAGUUAACAACUAGCUAUUAUAGGCCAGGCAUGGUGCUUAUCCCUAUAAUCCCAGCACUUUGGGAGGCCGAAGAGGGAGAACUGCUUGAGCCCAGGAGUUCAAGACCAACCUGGGCAACAAAGUGAGAUCCCGUCUCCACCAAAAAAAAAAAAAAAAAAAAAAAAAAGUUAGCCAGGUGUGGUGGCAUGCUCUGGCUGAAGUGGGAGGAUUGCUUGAGCCCAGGAGGUCAAGAGGCUACAAUGAGCUGUGAUUGUGCCACUGCACUCCACCUCCAGCCCGGGUAACACAGCAAGAGCCGGUCUCAAAAAACAAACAAUUUAUUAUAUUAAAUUUUUUUCUCAACUGUUACCUUACUAAUUCAGUGUUUCUAUAAAAAUUUUAGUUUAUGAGAUGACAUUAUCAAAGUGAUCUAAUAAAUAAGUAUGCCAAUUAGACUGGUGAGCUAUAGAUUCUUCAUUUUCACUUUAACAUUAAAAAUAUAAUUUUCAGUAUGGCUUGGUGCUAUGGACUGAAUAUUUGUAUCCUCCCCAAAUUCCUAUGUUGAAAUCAUACCCCAAGGUGCAGUUAUUAGGAGGUGAGGCCUUUGGGAGGUGAUUAGGUCUUGAAGGCAGAGCAGGGUAACAUUAGUGGCCUUGUAAGAGAGACCACAGAGAGCUAGCCAGCUUCUUCUACCAUGUAAGGACACAGCAACAGGGCACCUUCUAUGAGGAACAGGCCCUCACCAGACACUGAAUCUACCAGCACCCUGAUCUUGGACUUCCCAGCCUCCAGAAGUAUAAGAAAAUAAAUGUCUACUGUUUACAAGCCACAUUGUUUACAGUAUUUUGUUACAGCAGCCCAAUGGACUAAGUCACUUGGAUUCAGAGUUCUCUCCCAAGUCAAACACUGGGAAGGGCUUGGAGAAAAUGGUGGCCAUGUGUCAAGCCUGGAGAAGUGUCAUUCUUCAGACAUUGAAGAUGCUGGAGUCAGCAUUGUUGACACACUCCAGCAUUGGUCCUUGCAGUGGAGGAAGGCUCUUCUUCACACAGCAGACAUGGCAGAGAAAAUGGACACAAACUAAAAGUAGGUGUCCAGCAGUCGGGUGCGGUGGCUCACGCCUGUAAUUCUAGUGCUUUGGGAGGCCGAGGUGGGAGGAUUGCUUGAGCCCAGGAAUUCAAGACCAGUCUGGGCAACAUAACGAGAACAAGUCUCUAUAAAAAUAAAAAUAAAAACCAUAUAAAAGUAGGUAUCCAUAGUGCUCUGUGUCCAUUAGACAUUAAUAAAAGGAUUCCAGUUGAGAGGAACAACAUUUGAAGUCAUUGUUAUUCCCUCCUCUCUUAAUUCCAUUAAUCUUCCAUGGUUUCAGGUUCUCUGUGUAGCAUAUUAAUGCCUGCCACAAGGGUGCUAUCAACCAGAAUCUUCAGUGAAUCUUCUUUGUCUGAAUUGCACAUAUCUCAGAGGAGAAUAGAGAAUGUGUAAGGACACCGUGGCCCAUGCAUUGACACUGUCAUAGAUAAAGCAUAGUUACUCGCUAUCAGUUCUACCCACAGCCAAAGUCCAGGUUCCACCUCCUUUAGCAAGCCUUCUCGAAGGACUCCAUGCCUCACUGAUCUUCCUCCUCACUGAACGCCACAGACCAAGAACCCAUAAUGUCCUCCUCAGGAACCAGCACAGUCCCAAAGUCCACAGAACUCAAAAGAACGCUGGUAGAUUGAUUUGCUCUACCAUCAUCUCAACAGUGCUUUCCUCGGGUGUAGCAUGAUGCAUUUUAACACAAUUAAAAUGACAUGUUAGAAAUGUUGCUGAUGGGGUUGCUGGGGCAAUGACUUCUUUCAAAGUCUUCCCUCUAUUUACUGCACUCAUGGAAGUGAGUCUCAUGGGAAGCUAUGUCUUAGCUGAAAGCCUGUCUUCAAAGUCCUUUGGCAAGGAAGUUUUCUGUUAUGAAUAAAUUAGUAUCACAAGUAACUUUUUCAAGUGUUUUUCCAUACAAUUGACACUUCUAAUAAUGAAAAAGAAUCAAGCUUCUGACUCUGCACACAGUGGCAAAUAUUGGCAUGUGUAAUCUGGGGCCUGUUGGGUGAAGAUCCUUAAGUUACCACAACCUAUUGGUAGAGUGUCUCUAAAUUUUGGAUGUAGCCAGUCCCAAACUGACUUGUAAAAGUGUCAGCUUGGACAGUGUUUCACAAACUGGGAUUGGAGAAAGACCACAGUUCUGAAAGAUGCUGCUCGGUAUUGCUCAGUGCUACUAGAUGGACUUGGUGUUGAGAGCAUGAG